rfam:Lottia gigantea unplaced genomic scaffold LOTGIsca_230, whole genome shotgun sequence.
GCCUCCAUAGCUCAGUAGCUAGAGCACUGGUCUUGUAAACCAGGGGUCGGGAGUUCAAUCCUCCCUGGGGGCU